rnacentral:rRNA from 1 species
GAUGAACGCUGGCGGCGUGCCUAAUACAUGCAAGUCGAGCGAACAGAUGAGGAGCUUGCUCCUCUGACGUUAGCGGCGGACGGGUGAGUAACACGUGGAUAACCUACCUAUAAGACUGGGAUAACUUCGGGAAACCGGAGCUAAUACCGGAUAAUAUAUUGAACCGCAUGGUUCAAUAGUGAAAGACGGUUUUGCUGUCACUUAUAGAUGGAUCCGCGCCGCAUUAGCUAGUUGGUAAGGUAACGGCUUACCAAGGCAACGAUGCGUAGCCGACCUGAGAGGGUGAUCGGCCACACUGGAACUGAGACACGGUCCAGACUCCUACGGGAGGCAGCAGUAGGGAAUCUUCCGCAAUGGGCGAAAGCCUGACGGAGCAACGCCGCGUGAGUGAUGAAGGUCUUCGGAUCGUAAAACUCUGUUAUUAGGGAAGAACAAAUGUGUAAGUAACUAUGCACGUCUUGACGGAACCUAAUCAGAAAGCCACGGCUAACUACGU